CAAGUUCUUCAUCCUGUUAAGGGAAGGCAAAGAGAGGAGGGAGCAUAUUCAACGUGAUGCCAAGACUAAACAGUGAAUAAACGAAGAGGCCAAACAGACAGUGGGCAGUGGGAGAAUUCACACAGGGAUGAAUGGAAGAGGUGAUGAUAAGUGCUUGAAUUCUUCAGGAUAGAAUCAAGGCAGCUGUCUUUGAUUCUUCUGGAGGCACUGUAGUGGGGAGUUUGCUCGCUCUAGAAUAUUCACUCCUCUCUGUGAGAUGGCCAAGCCUUUUGAGAUAUUUACUUACUGCUGGUCUAACCCAUGAAGAGAUGCAUAUCAGUAUUGACAAAGAAUUAUCCCACAUGCAAAUGUUAUCUAAGUUUGUUCAAAACAGGUUUGCCUUAGACAAUGUCAUGGAGCUGGAUUUCUGAUGCCUCUAAACAAUUUCAUUCUCUCUUUGUUAAGCAUCAGAAGGAUAUGAUCUCAAACUGUCACCUGAGCCCAAAUGGCGAGGAAGAUUUACAGAACUCAACUCAUAAGGAAGCCAGGAGUCCUCUGCCCAUUUCGGCUCUUGGCAAAUUCAGCUGAUCAAUAUCACUUUUUGGAUGUAGAGUAUGGCAUAUUGUCAUUAGUUUCCUUGUUUUCCAUCCAAGCUAUCAAGUUCCAUCUGUGUCCAGUCAACUAUUCCUGCUGUAUAUUGUAUAAUGGGGACUGCCCAGGUAUUGAUUGCUUUGAUGAUGUUUCCACCAUUUAGUUCUGAUUUCAAAAUUUUUCAAACUCAUUCUUUCCAUCCCUUUCCUGCAACUAAAGGUUAAAUUUUAUCUUCAUUGUGUAAGGGAAUGCCAGCAGCUGAAGCAAAAUUUAAGAAUCUUACAUUUGUCAGACUAUUUUAUGUUUGCUUGUUUUAGAAUUUUAAUUGGAUGGAUUAUGUUCCAAAGCAAAAUUAAGUGGGGAGAACAUAACACGUUAUGAAAGAAGAUGGCAAAGAAAGAAACCUUAAAAAUUUCUGUACAUUGAAAGCAGGCAGAAUCUAUCUAUCUCAAAUAUGAAAUGAAAACCAGAGUAUCACUGUCUAACAUGUCCUAUCAUUCCUGUUUUCCACAGACUUUUGAAAAUAAUGUGGUUCCUUUUAAUAAAAGCUGGAUAACAUUUUGUGAUUCCAGUCACUCUUAAUUCUUUCCCUGCCUCCCCAUUUCCUCCAGGGAGC